UUUGCCCUGAUGUCAAACUUCCAAAGUCAUUUUUUCUUUAUAAUUUCAUUUUUAAAACACUUUUAUUAAAAGUUAUAAAGAAUUGCCAAUUGAAGCAAAUAUUAAUGAAACUAUGGCAAUAAACGUAAUGUUGACGCAAAAAUGCCAAAUCUUAAGUUAAAUGGUUCAUCUAAAUCUGUUAAAACGGAUGCAAGCACUAAAGAAGACAAUAACGUUACAAAUUGAAACAGAAGUUUAUAACGAAUCAUGCUGACGAUUAGAUACGAAUCACAGAAAAGCACCAUUGUCGAAUGAUUAUGAAUCAAAUCUUUGUAUUAUAAUUGCGUUAAUAUAUUAAAAAAUUUAA